CUGUCCAGGUGGUUGGGAUGUG
rnacentral:miRNA from 1 species